rnacentral:rRNA from 1 species
GUGAGGAAUUUUCCGCAAUGGGCGAAAGCCUGACGGAGCAAUGCCGCGUGAAGGAAGAAGGCCUUCGGGUUGUAAACUGCUUUUGUCAGGGAAGAAAUCUUCUGGGCUAAUACCCCGGGAGGAUGACGGUACCUGAAGAAUAAGCACCGGCUAACUACGUGCCAGCAGCCGCGGUAAUACGUAGGGUGCGAGCGUUAAUCGGAAUUACUGGGCGUAAAGCGUGCGCAGGCGGUUAUGUAAGACAGAUGUGAAAUCCCCGGGCUCAACCUGGGAACUGCAUUUGUGACUGCAUGACUGGAGUGCGGCAGAGGGGGAUGGAAUUCCGCGUGUAGCAGUGAAAUGCGUAGAUAUGCGGAGGAACACCGAUGGCGAAGGCAAUCCCCUGGGCCUGCACUGACGCUCAUGCACGAAAGCGUGGGGAGCAAACAGGAUUAGAUACCCGUGUAGUCC